GCCCCCACCACCUUAAACCCUGCCCAUCAGCUAUAGGCUCCGCCCCCUACUCCGCCAUCCAGGCCGUGUCGCACCCCACUCUAGAGCCUAACCUCAACCUCUGGGGAAGAAAACUAGAAUUUCUCCUCCGUGCGUGGAUGAAAUAGGGGUCAGUUCUCCCGCCGCGGCCUAAGCCAUCUCAGUGGUUCGGAGACCGGAGGUCCAAGCACUUCCGCUUCCGGUGGCCCAAGACCGGAAGCGGAAGUACGUGUGCGGCUGUGGCUGGCGGACGCGCAACUGCGUGGGUCGCUGCGGUGGGAGUGUUGUCGGCCGGUGUGCAGGUGGAACACCUCCUGAGACCUCGAACCCUGGCACCACUGUCAUGACUGGGGAUCUCAGCUCAAACCCAAGGAGCUGGCCUUGAUGUGGGAUGUUUUGGAGGACGCGGGAUCCAGUAACGUGCGGAUGAGACUGACAGCGGCUGUGCAGAGUCAGAGGGUGGAGACACCAUUGCCCACGCUGGGUCUCCCCAUCCCAGGGGUGUCCAGGGCUUCUGCUCUGCCUGCUCACAACGCCGCCUGGCUCCGAGAGGACAGCACAGAGGUAAAAGCCAUGGCUCCUGGGUUGCAGACCACCUGUUCCCAGGUAAGUAGGAAAUCCUUCCUGUUCUGAAAGAGCACUACUGUGCCCAGAGGCUGGACUUGCCCCUUCAUGUGACCUGCUGGGCCUCCUUGAGUCUGUAAGGAUGGCCUCUAGCCUACCAGGACCUGGGCCUUCUGCAGUGGGUGGGGUCAGCUAGGCAACAGCCCACCCUAGUGAGACCCCCAGGUUGCCGAGCAAGGGUGCGAGCUUGUCCUUGUUUCAUGGUCUUUGCAUUCUCACUAGGCAGGGUUCAUAUCAUUUGCUAGGUUCCUCUCUUCUCUCCCUCUUCUCUCUUGCUUCUUGAGAUGGGGGGUCUCACUGUAGAGCACAGGUUGGCUUUGAACUUCUGAUCCUCCUGACUAGCUAGAAUUACAGGUGUGGGUCACCCAGCCAGAUCCCCAGAUAUUUCCCUCUUUCUUGUGGUAACUCAGGCCUGCUGCAUGCAGGAGCUAUGGUAAACCAGCCAGGGGCUUCUUUACUAGGUGGAGAGAGAAGACCCUUCAUGAAGUAGAGGCCUUUGGUAAGAAUUAGGGCUGCUUACUGCUGUUUUUUGGGGAGCACUAAGGAGAUAGUGCUCUACUUCUUUUUCUUUAUUUUUUUUUGUGGUGCUGGGGAUGGAACCAGGGCCUGGCACCCUCUAGAUGAGCCCUACCACUGGGUCACACCCCAGCUCCUGAGAGUUCUAAUUCUAAUGCCUGGACUGAGGGUCUGAAAACCCUCUGAAUAGGGUCUCUCUUCCAUGGCCUGGCAGCUCCACUGUCCUCUUGGGUUUUGGUGGGGCAUCCCAUGGCUGAUCUAGGACAAUUGUGUGUUUUAGGAAGCAGUCACUUUUGCAGAUGUGGCCGUGGUGUUCAGCCCUGAAGAAUGGGCAUUUCUGGACUCUGCUCAGAGAAGCCUGUACAGAGACGUGAUGCAGGAGAACUUCAGGAACCUGGCCUCCGUGGGUAAGGCUGUCUCCUUGCCUCCUCCACAUGCUCAUGAAACCCAUCAUGGGUUCCAGGAAUUGUGCAGGUUUUGGAAAAAUCAAGAG
rnacentral:lncRNA from 1 species